rnacentral:rRNA from 1 species
CCUACGGGAGGCUGCAGUAAGGAAUAUUGGGCAAUGGAGGCAACUCUGACCCAGCCAUGCCGCGUGAAGGAUGACGGCCCUAUGGGUUGUAAACUUCUUUUAUACGGGAAUAAACCCGGGUACGUGUACCCGGCUGAAUGUACCGUAAGAAUAAGGAUCGGCUAACUCCGUGCCAGCAGCCGCGGUAAUACGGAGGAUCUAAGCGUUAUCCGGAUUCAUGGGGUUGAAGGGGUGCGUGUAAGGAUGCGUAGAAAUCCUACAGCUUAACUGUAGAACUGCCGUUGAUACUGAAAGUCUUGAGUACAUUUGAUGUGGGCGGAAUGUGUCAUGUAGCGGUGAAAUGCUUAGAUAUGACACGGAACACCAAGUGCGAAGGCAGCUCACAAAACUGUAACUGACGCUGAGGCACGACAGCGUGGGGAUCAAACAGGAUUAGAUACCCUUGUAGUC